rnacentral:rRNA from 1 species
UACGAAGGGGGCUAGCGUUGCUCGGAAUCACUGGGCGUAAAGGGUGCGUAGGCGGGUCUUUAAGUCAGAGGUGAAAUCCUGGAGCUCAACUCCAGAACUGCCUUUGAUACUGAGGAUCUUGAGUUCGGGAGAGGUGAGUGGAACUGCGAGUGUAGAGGUGAAAUUCGUAGAUAUUCGCAAGAACACCAGUGGCGAAGGCGGCUCACUGGCCCGAUACUGACGCUGAGGCGCGAAAGCGUGGGGAGCAAACAGG